rnacentral:rRNA from 1 species
UACGAAGGGGGCUAGCGUUGUUCGGAAUUACUGGGCGUAAAGCGCAUGUAGGCGGCGAUUCAAGUCGGGGGUGAAAUCCUGAGGCUCAACCUCAGAACUGCCUUCGAUACUGCAUUGCUAGAGUAUGGAAGAGGUAGGUGGAACUGCGAGUGUAGAGGUGAAAUUCGUAGAUAUUCGCAAGAACACCAGUGGCGAAGGCGGCCUACUGGUCCAUCACUGACGCUGAGAUGCGAAAGCGUGGGGAGCAAACAGG